rnacentral:rRNA from 1 species
AGAGUUUGAUCCUGGCUCAGGAUGAACGCUGACAGAAUGCUUAACACAUGCAAGUCAAUGGGGAAACGGUGCUUGCACCGUGAUAACCAUGGCGGACGGGUGAGUAACGCGUAAAGAACUUGCCUCUUAGUCUGGGAUAACAGAUGGAAACGACUGAUAAGACUAGAUAUUAUUAAAGUUUCGCAUGAAGCUUUAAUGAAAAGAGAUGCUAAGAGAGAGCUUUGCGUCCUAUUAGUUAGUUGGUGAGGUAACGGCUCACCAAGACGAAGAUAGGUAGCCGGUCUGAGAGGAUGAACGGCCACAAGGGGACUGAGAUACGGCCCUUACUCUUACGGGAGGCAGCAGUGGGGAAUAUUGGACAAUGGAGGAGACUCUGAUCCAGCAAUUCUGUGUGCACGAAGACGGUUUUCGGAUUGUAAAGUGCUUUCAGCAGGGAAGAAGAAAGUGACGGUACCUGCAGAAGAAGCGACGGCUAAAUACGUGCCAGCAGCCGCGGUAAUACGUAUGUCGCAAGCGUUAUCCGGAAUUAUUGGGCAUAAAGGGCAUCUAGGCGGAUAUACAAGUCAGGGGUGAAAACUUAGGGCUCAACUCAAAGCUUGCCUUUGAAACUGUAUAUCUAGAGUGCUGGAGAGGUGGACGGAACUACACGAGUAGAGGUGAAAUUCGUAGAUAUGUGUAGGAAUGCCGAUGAUGAAGAUAGUCCACUGGACAGCAACUGACGCUGAAGUGCGAAAGCUAGGGGAGCAAACAGGAUUAGAUACCCUGGUAGUCCUAGCUGUAAACGAUGAUUACUGGGUGUGGGCAUGAAGAGUGUCUGUGCCGAAGCUAAUGCGAUAAGUAAUCCGCCUGGGGAGUACGACCGCAAGGUUGAAACUCAAAGGAAUUGACGGGGACCCGCACAAGCGGUGGAGCAUGUGGUUUAAUUCGACGCAACGCGAGGAACCUUACCAGAUCUUGACAUCCUACGUAGGCCUGUGAGAACAGGCUGUGCCUUCGGGAACGUAGAGACAGGUGGUGCAUGGCUGUCGACAGCUCGUGUCGUGAGAUGUUGGGUUAAGUCCCGCAACGAGCGCAACCCCUAUAG